rnacentral:lncRNA from 12 species
UCAUGCAUGUGAGCAGCUGUACAACUCCAUUCAGCAGCAUUGAGAGAUCGACUUUUCUGGAAUAAGAUAAGAGCUGUGAUGGAGCAGCAGCCCUGAUCCCAACAGCAAUGCAGAAUGAACAGCUUGGCAAAAAUCCAGUUCAACAUCUAUUUGAUGAUGAUGGCGGUGAUGCUGAAAAGAGAAAAGAGGUUGAAGAACACAAUGGUGGCUGCGCAGCAUAUCAGCUCAUAGAAGAUAAGGAAGAUUUUUCCAUUGAGAGUAGCAGGUGCUGCCAUCCCGAAACCUGAUGUGGACACAGAAAUGUACUGUAGCUAAUGAAGGAGAAUUGUGCAAACCCUGCAGUCACAUUUAAGACAAUUUAGACACAAUAUUGCCAGUUAAGCCUCAUUCACACCAAGAAGGGUGACUGUAAAUAUAACUAUAACAAUAACUAUAAUUUUAGUGUCCACACCAAAUAAGUGACCAUUUAAAGUGGCGGAUGACAAAAUUAAAGAAUGAGAUUAUAAUAAAGAGAAUAUUAUCAUCCGUUGGUGUGGACACUAUGGUUAUCGUUGUUGCCUUAAAUGUCAGAGCUCUCGGUCAGGUGGAUUCUGUUCAGCUUUCAAUGAUUUUUUUUAUCUGCUGAAAAAAAAAAACCUGUCCUAAAAAUGAUUCCAACGAUAUUGUUCCUCUAUCGUUAUUGUUACAGCAACUUCCAUUAUUCUCAUGGAAUUAGAAUGAUUAUUAAAACUUUACACUUGUCUAUUUUGCUUCACACGCACACACACAAAACACCAAAGCUGAAUCAACUGCUGUGCCUGAAUGAAUCAUUGUGUUGAAAUGAUUCAGUUGAGUGAAUGAUGAUUCAAUUACUCAUUCAUCAGUUGUUGUUUAGCUACUGAAUCAGUGUUUUUGAAAGAAUGAAAGAUUCAUUGACUCACUCAUAAAACAGUUGUUUUUCAUCACCUACUGGCAUAAGAAAGUUACUGUAAAUCCCACUCAUAGACUGACAAACCUGUCUGUAAUGUACAAACACUGGCUGAAUACUGGCAUACUACCCUUCUACUUCUGCCAUUAAAAUAUACUAUGAGUAGAAAUACUAUAGUGGUAUGGUAGUAUGCUAUUCUGAAUUCAACCUGACAGGCAUAAUGACAGCCUACAAACAAUUAAUAAUUACAUAGUGGAAUUACAAGAAAAAAAGGAAAUUAUAGUACAGUUCUACCACAACAAAAUCAAGAUUUUCAUCAACUUUAAGUUGAUGAAAAUCAAUAAUCUAGAGGUAAUAAUUUGUUGUGUUAUGCAAACAUGAUGGCAUUUACAGAUUCCACUUUGUGUAUUGACACACUACAGGUUAUAUUGGACACUGUACAUUUUAACAGCCGUUUACAUGUAUCCAUCAUAACAAAGCUAUUAUGAUGUGAGAGCUGGAAAUUUAAAUCAGGAAAUAGAUUUUUUUGUUUUUUUUUGUUUGCUAUUUCACCACUAAAAGAUAAGCGCAGAGGCAGAUAAUAAAACAAGGUUGUAAAAGACUGUGUAAACAAUCAUUCUACCCCGAAAUGUAUGGACAUGUUAAUGACUACAUGGAGUCAGUAAGAGGUAGAAAUAUUAGUAUGCUUCUUCAAAUACAGGAACAGAUGUAUGGAAUGAAAAGGUUACCUAGGAGGAAUAAACAGACUUUCUGACAACAGAGAAUUGCAUUAAUGGCUAAUACCACAAUCACCCAAUGGCACAGACAGUUUAAUUACAACUUGAAUUGCUAUUUUUAAUCAUUAAAAACAACAACAACAACAACAACAAUAAUAAUAAUAAUAAUAAUAAUUAGAUGACAUAGAAAGUUAAAGGUACUUAGAAAGUUUUGUGUGUUUUUUAUUAUACUUCUAUGGAUACAUAGACAGAUAGACAGAGACACUGAGAGACACUGAAGAGAGAGGACAUGCACUCCUGAUCUCCUGCAAAAACACCAUUUAAUACUGGAUUAACUUGAACUAUCUUAGAUAUUUUUAUAAGGAGACACACACAAACUUACGUCCAUCGACAUCACUACACCUUGGAUUAAAAUUCUUUAUAUUAAUCUGGAUUUUGAAACAAAAUAUCUGGAAAAGGACAACAACUAACUAAGGACCCAACAGACCCUGCACAAGAUACCAAAAGCCAUCAAAAGAACCAAAAGGAAUAUAUGUUGCAGAGGACUAUUUGUUACAAGGAACCAAAGUAAAUACAUUUUCUAAAAUCUUUCACCAAGUAUUCUACAAUGAACUAUUUUUCAAAAAAGAAAAAGAAGUUUUACUCCUCAUAACAGACAACAGUGUUAUAGAAUAUAUCAAACCCUACCUUGCUACCUGACCACGUGACCUACUUUUCAGAAGUGAAAUAGGAAGGUGUAAAUGUGAUGGGCCAAAACAAUAGCAAAAAAAAUUCAUACCCAAUCCCCCAAACAGGUGCUAAUGGCCCAUAACACCAGGCCCAUUGUGUGGAGGCUAUCCCACUAAUCUACCCAAAAGAUGUUUCCAAUGAAACAGCACGAAAAAUCUACAAAAACAAAAAGUCCACAGAAAACCCAGAGACUUUAUUUGCAGACCUUCAUAAGGAUGGCACUAUUAGUAACCUGAUCUUC